GCCUCAGUCUCCCUCAGCCACUGCCACGCCAACUCCCUCGGAUCCCUCAACCCUCUCCAUCUCCGUUCCCCACUGCCCUUUACAAUAACUGCCCCUUUUAUCACGGUUUGUCUCUGAGUCUGCUUCUGGGUACAAAUCUGCAAAUCCUAACGGAAACACUUUCAACACAACUGCUUCACAGUGAUUCUGUGCUUCAGAAAGCUUCGUUUCCCCCAUAACUACUCAGAACCGCUGUGUUCCUCUUGACGUCGACCUUCAAAGCCUCCAACUCGCCUUCCUCUUCAUCAGUGGGAUGAUGCUGCCCUCUGCUGGACUGGAAGAAUUCAACAAUCUGAACAUUUUCAUAAAGGUGUAGGCCUCACAAAACCUUUAAGGGCACAUUCACUAAAUGUAAAGAGAGCAGGUUUGUCAGGCUGUGAUACACUAUAUGGCCAAAAGUAUGUGGACAGCUGACAGAGUAACGUGACUAUGACAUCAUGUCCACUCUUCUGGUUUCAGUCUUUCCAGCAGGUGUUGAACCUGCUGCAGGGAUUCGCUCCCAUUCAGACUCCAGAGCAUCAGUGAGGUCCAGCACUGAUGUCAGUGAUCAGGUCUGGAUCACAGUCGGCGUUCCAGUUCAUCCCAAAGAUUCUUCACGGAGAGGGAAUGUACCACACACCGGAAGUGACGCGGUAAAUUCGUGUUGUGGUUGUGGAGUUAAUGGCGUAAAUAAAGUUUAUGGUGACCGAACAUGGACUGUGGCCGGGGGAUGUUUUGCCCGUUUUGUGGCAAACACAUGAGCAGCUUAACGCGGUUUUGCUUUACGUGUGGUCGGUGUUUGGAGUUUCUAAAGGACGCGGACCAGACGGAAACACAGGGGACGUCUCGA